GACGAACGUUGGCGGCGUGCUUAACACAUGCAAGUCGAACGGAAAGGCCCUGCUUUUGUGGGGUGCUCGAGUGGCGAACGGGUGAGUAACACGUGAGUAACCUGCCCUUGACUUUGGGAUAACUUCAGGAAACUGGGGCUAAUACCGGAUAGGAGCUCCUGCUGCAUGGUGGGGGUUGGAAAGUUUCGGCGGUUGGGGAUGGACUCGCGGCUUAUCAGCUUGUUGGUGGGGUAGUGGCUUACCAAGGCUUUGACGGGUAGCCGGCCUGAGAGGGUGACCGGCCACAUUGGGACUGAGAUACGGCCCAGACUCCUACGGGAGGCAGCAGUGGGGAAUAUUGCACAAUGGGCGGAAGCCUGAUGCAGCAACGCCGCGUGCGGGAUGACGGCCUUCGGGUUGUAAACCGCUUUCGCCUGUGACGAAGCGUGAGUGACGGUAAUGGGUAAAGAAGCACCGGCUAACUACGUGCCAGCAGCCGCGGUGAUACGUAGGGUGCGAGCGUUGUCCGGAUUUAUUGGGCGUAAAGGGCUCGUAGGUGGUUGAUCGCGUCGGAAGUGUAAUCUUGGGGCUUAACCCUGAGCGUGCUUUCGAUACGGGUUGACUUGAGGAAGGUAGGGGAGAAUGGAAUUCCUGGUGGAGCGGUGGAAUGCGCAGAUAUCAGGAGGAACACCAGUGGCGAAGGCGGUUCUCUGGGCCUUUCCUGACGCUGAGGAGCGAAAGCGUGGGGAGCGAACAGGCUUAGAUACCCUGGUAGUCCACGCUGUAAACGGUGGGUACUAGGUGUGGGGUCCAUUCCACGGGUUCCGUGCCGUAGCUAACGCUUUAAGUACCCCGCCUGGGGAGUACGGCCGCAAGGCUAAAACUCAAAGGAAUUGACGGGGCCCCGCACAAGCGGCGGAGCAUGCGGAUUAAUUCGAUGCAACGCGUAGAACCUUACCUGGGUUUGACAUGGAUCGGGAGUGCUCAGAGAUGGGUGUGCCUCUUUUGGGGUCGGUUCACAGGUGGUGCACGCCUGUCGUCAGCUCGUGUCGUGAGAUGUUGGGUUAAGUCCCGCAACGAGCGCAACCCUUGUUCACUGUUGCCAGCACGUUAUGGUGGGGACUCAGUGGAGACCGCCGGGGUCAACUCGGAGGAAGGUGGGGAUGACGUCAAGUCAUCAUGCCCCUUAUGUCCAGGGCUUCACGCAUGCUACAAUGGCUGGUACAGAGAGUGGCGAGCCUGUGAGGGUGAGCGAAUCUCGGAAAGCCGGUCUCAGUUCGGAUUGGGGUCUGCAACUCGACCUCAUGAAGUCGGAGUCGCUAGUAAUCGCAGAUCAGCAACGCUGCGGUGAAUACGUUCCCGGG
rnacentral:rRNA from 1 species